CGUGCCGCUGCGCGGGGGCGUCAGCGGGCCUGGGGCGCCCGGACUCCCGCCGUGCCAGUCGGCACGGCGGGG
rnacentral:tRNA from 1 species